GUCCUAUAGCAGUUGUUCAGGGAGCAAGAAGGUGGGGCUAGACUCCACUGCCCAUAUUCGAUUAUCAGAGCCAGCUGGAAAGAGGUCAAAUGGUGCCUAUAAAGGAUUGAGAAACCUCAGCUGUAAAAAACAGCAGGAGGUAGUUUAGCUCCUGUGAUUGGUCCUGGAGUAGUAGGAGCAGACUAAAAGAAAAAGCAGAGUAUCAAAGAAGACAUCAAUCAAACGAGACCAUUUUACUUUGACCAUUAAGCAAUUGUUGUUGUGUAAGUUGGUAGGCAUACCAGUGUCCCUCCCUCUUGCAAACUAGGAGUAAAGGCUAUGAGACUUCUGCCUCAGGGUCAGGACAUGGCCGGAGUGUGGAUGCGUGGACAGUAGGUAAUCCCUCAAGAAGGGAAUGGGGGAAAGUUCUGUCUGUGAAGCAUCUCCAAGGAUGGUACUUUUUGUGCUUGGAGACAUU
rnacentral:lncRNA from 1 species